AGAACGAACGCUGGCGGCAGGCUUAACACAUGCAAGUCGAACGCAUCCUUCGGGGUGAGUGGCAGACGGGUGAGUAACACGUGGGAACGUACCUUUCAGUUCGGAAUAACCCAGGGAAACUUGGGCUAAGACCGGAUACGCCCUUUUGGGGAAAGAUUUAUCGCUGAGAGAUCGGCCCGCGUCUGAUUAGCUAGUUGGUGGGGUAAUGGCCUACCAAGGCAACGAUCCGUAGCUGGUCUGAGAGGACGAUCAGCCACACUGGGACUGAGACACGGCCCAGACUCUUACGGGAGGCAGCAGUGGGGAAUCUUGCGCAAUGGGCGAAAGCCUGACGCAGCAACGCCGCGUGGGGGAUGAAUGCCUUCGGGUUGUAAACCCCUUUCAGCAGGGACGAAUCUGACGGUACCUGCAGAAGAAGCCCGGCCAACUACGUGCCAGCAGCCGC
rnacentral:rRNA from 1 species